AGUAGUUUACUACAGAAAAUGACUGAGCGGGGAACGGGUGAGUAACGCGUGAGCAACCUACCUUAGUUACUGGGAUAGCCCGAGGAAACUCGGAUUAAUACCGGAUAUUCUUAUUUAAUCACAUGAUUUUUUAAGGAAAGGUCAGCCGAACUAAGAUGGGCUCGCGUUCUAUCAGCUAGUUGGUAGGGUAAUGGCCUACCAAGGCUACGACGGAUAGCUGGUCUGAGAGGACGAUCAGCCACACUGGGACUGAGACACGGCCCAGACUCCUACGGGAGGCUGCAGCAGGGAAUAUUGCGCAAUGAGCGAAAGCUUGACGCAGCGACACCGCGUGUGGGAUGACGGAUCUAGGUUUGUAAACCACUUUCAGGAGGGAAGAAAAUGACGGUACCUCCACAAGAAGCCCCGGCCAACUACGUGCCAGCAGCCGCGGUAAUACGUAGGGGGCGAGCGUUGUCCGGAUUUAUUGGGCGUAAAGAGCUCGUAGGCGGUUCAACAAGUCGGUCGUGAAAGUUCAGGGCUCACCCCUGAAAAUGUCGACUGAUACUGUUGUGACUA
rnacentral:rRNA from 1 species